UGAGAAAGAGAGGAAAAAGAGAAAAAAAGAAGAGAAAAGAAGAAGAAUAAGAGAGGAAGAAGACGUGCGCAGCAGCCUUCUUACUGCUGUACACUCCUAUGGUUACUGCCUUGCAACCAUGGAUGUUGCUGAUGAUGCAUGCCAGCAUCUGGUACUCUCCAAAACAAGUAAAAGCUGCCUUGGUCUUGAUCCAGCUGAAGAUUUGAGUCAAGGACUGCUGAUCAACUGCAUGCAUGUAUCAAGAAGCAUAAAAGGUUUUGAAGUUGAAGCGAAGAAGAUCAGGAGAUUGGUUGCAGAUGAAGUCAUGGACAUGGAGUGAUUAUAGAUAAGGACUUUGAUACUUUGUGUUUUAUAUUGUAAAUUAAAUGUAAGUGGUAUUAUGUAAUUUGUUGUAAUCUUGGGAGAAUUAUUAAUGGGCCUAUAAUAUUAUAAAUGUAUCAUUGUAGCUGAUCA